rnacentral:rRNA from 1 species
AGAGUUUGAUCCUGGCUCAGGACGAACGCUGGCGGCGCGCCUAACACAUGCAAGUCGAACGAGAGAUGAGGAGCUUGCUCUUCAAAUCGAGUGGCGAACGGGUGAGUAACGCGUGAGGAACCUGCCUCAAAGAGGGGGACAACAGUUGGAAACGACUGCUAAUACCGCAUAAGCCCACGGCUCGGCAUCGAGCAGAGGGAAAAGGAGCAAUCCGCUUUGAGAUGGCCUCGCGUCCGAUUAGCUAGUUGGUGAGGUAACGGCCCACCAAGGCGACGAUCGGUAGCCGGACUGAGAGGUUGAACGGCCACAUUGGGACUGAGACACGGCCCAGACUCCUACGGGAGGCAGCAGUGGGGAAUAUUGCACAAUGGGGGAAACCCUGAUGCAGCGACGCCGCGUGGAGGAAGAAGGUCUUCGGAUUGUAAACUCCUGUUGUUGAGGAAGAUAAUGACGGUACUCAACAAGGAAGUGACGGCUAACUACGUGCCAGCAGCCGCGGUAAAACGUAGGUCACAAGCGUUGUCCGGAAUUACUGGGUGUAAAGGGAGCGCAGGCGGGAGAACAAGUUGGAAGUGAAAUCCAUGGGCUCAACCCAUGAACUGCUUUCAAAACUGUUUUUCUUGAGUAGUGCAGAGGUAGGCGGAAUUCCCGGUGUAGCGGUGGAAUGCGUAGAUAUCGGGAGGAACACCAGUGGCGAAGGCGGCCUACUGGGCACCAACUGACGCUGAGGCUCGAAAGUGUGGGUAGCAAACAGGAUUAGAUACCCUGGUAGUCCACACCGUAAACGAUGAUUACUAGGUGUUGGAGGAUUGACCCCUUCAGUGCCGCAGUUAACACAAUAAGUAAUCCACCUGGGGAGUACGACCGCAAGGUUGAAACUCAAAGGAAUUGACGGGGGCCCGCACAAGCAGUGGAGUAUGUGGUUUAAUUCGACGCAACGCGAAGAACCUUACCAAGUCUUGACAUCCCUUGACGAACAUAGAAAUAUGUUUUCUCUUCGGAGCAAGGAGACAGGUGGUGCAUGGUUGUCGUCAGCUCGUGUCGUGAGAUGUUGGGUUAAGUCCCGCAACGAGCGCAACCC